rnacentral:lncRNA from 1 species
GGAGAGAUGUAGGACAGGUUGGGUAACAGCCUGUCUUGGGUGUAAAGCUCAGAGAGGGAAAUCCCUCCAGAGGUUUAACUGCAAGCUCUCCACCGCUCACUGCAGCCCCUGCCCUGCAUGAGAGCUUGAGCAGGGGGCAGCAAGCAGGACCUGCAGCCCAGGCUCUCUGCCACAGACUUGUGUGUUUGGGCAGAGGGGAUUUUCAGUAGAUUUUCUAAGGGUGGAUGCAGGAGACAAUUGCUUAAGUGUUGCUUGCUUUUCUUCCAGUGCUGGUUUGCAAGCUCCUCUUGCUGCUGAGAUCCAGGAUGCUGUGAAUGACCAGGCAGCACCCCAGGGAAACCCCAUCUUUCCACCCAAAGAGCAAAGUCCCCAUCACUUGCCUGCUGCUGUCUGCAUGUAGCCAGCCAGGGUGCAGACUCGCCUCUCGCAGGCUCCGCCGGGCAGUAGGACAGCAACGAUGGCCAGCAGCGAGCUGAGGGCCAGCAGGACACAGCCACCCGCACACAGCACGGCGCUCGUCUGAAAGGACACACAGGGUUGUCAGCGAAGUGGUUCCCCACCACCAUCCCCACAACAGCUCCCCACGAAUUCUCCCUCUUGAAGUGAGAAGUGGGGCCCCAUCAUGGGCAGCUUCUCCCACCCCUUCCCUUCCACCUUCUGCUGCUUAAGUUCACUGGUAGCAUUCCCACCCCUGCCAAUGGGAUGGCACUGGCAGCGAGGUGGUCCCCAUACCAGAGGGGACAUGUGCCAGCCCAGCCAGGGGCAUGGGGUGACCCAUGAUGGGUGCCUCCUCCUCCAGCAUCCAGCUCAUGGCAGCCUUCAAACAGCGCGAGGGCACCUCGGUCCCAGCACUGCAGCAGCCACGUCAAGUCCUGUAAUUUCACAGCAUUUCAUGGCAAAUUCUACAGAAUGCUCCUGGCUUUGGGCCUUGGCUGGGAAUUAUUCCAAGUGCUCCUGCCCUGUACUGGAGUCGCACCUGUAGACCAAACAGCUGCUUCCAAAGAAAAAUGAUGAGCCUUAAGUUUGAAGGAGUCCAUGGAGCAAAGGUACCGACCAGUAGCAGCUAAAAACCCGCUUCUUCCAACCGCACAGCACCUCCUUCUCUCCUCCCUGUUUGUGCCUGUUGCAUCUUGAGCGGAAAGGAGAGGAUGCAGGAAACAGGAUGCAAAGGCUGAAACCCAAAAAUAGACCGGGGGGGAAAACAAACGGGAUGCAUCAAGGCCGUCUGUGAGAGCCCAGCUCAGGCUGGGACAGGAAAAAGCUCAUUCAUCACAGCAGAGAGCACAGCUCCCACUGCAAA